AUGAACAGCGGCUGUCUGUUACGCUCUUUCAAUGAGUUGUGAAUGCAAGCAGAGCAGAAACUGGCUACUCUUUAAUUGACUGACCUAGCUGGCAAGGAUCAGAUGGUGACAGGUGUCCCAGCAGGAUCAGACAACCAGGGAAGACCAGUCUACGGAGCUCAGGGCAUUGGAGCUGGUGGCAGAGGUAGCAGACUGGCGCAGAGUGGUACGGAGGAACACAUGCAGCUUGACCUUGUACUCGUCACAGGAAGAAGCCUCACUCUUCCAGAGAGUUUGCCACGGAUGAAGCAGACGGUGUGGUUAUGACGACAGAACUCUCCAUUACCUCUUUGCAUCCAGUGUGGUCGGAGAGCUCAUAGUUGCUGGCGUGUAGGGGCUGGCCUGCAUUCACUGGGUUCAGGAUCACCUUGUCUCCCACCACUACCUGCAGAACAACACAUGACCAGACUGGUUGCGGUUAUGUACCUUGGAUGACUGAUAAUUCAGACCGAUGUCUGUACUCUGUACUCAUCACAGUAAAAAAAACACAAAAAAACAAGCCAAUGCUAUAAUUGGCAGUAUCCUUCUGGAUAGUGGUUAUGGUACUUUUCUUGGUGAAGCUAACAUUUCAGGUUAGUGUGUAUUCAUGUCAUUUGAGUCUGUACUGUAAUACGAGUUAGUUGAGUUACAUUGUCUCCGUUGGCCCUUAGCUUC